AUUGAACGCUGGCGGGAUGCUUUACACAUGCAAGUCGAACGAGUGGCGGACGGGUGAGUAAUAAAUCUGAAUGUGCCCAAUGGCGGGGGAUAACUACUCGAAACAGUCGCUAAUACCGCAUACUAUAGGAUCGGCCCAUAUCGGAUUAGCUAGUUGGUGGGGUAAAGGCCCACCAAGGCAACGAGCGGUAGCUGGUUUGAGAGGAUGACCAGCCACACUGGGACUGAUACACGGCCCAGACUCCUACGGUAGGCAGCAGUGGGGAAUAUUGGACAAUGGGGGAAACCCUGAUCCAGCCAUGCCGCGUGUAUGAGAAGGCCUUCGGGUUGUAAAGUACUUUUGGCGGAGAAGCGGUAUCUGCAGAAGAAGCACCGGCUAACUACGUGCCAGCAGCCGCGGUAAUAC
rnacentral:rRNA from 1 species